UACGUAGGGUGCAAGCGUUGUCCGGAAUUAUUGGGCGUAAAGAGCUCGUAGGCGGUUCGUCGCGUCGGCUGUGAAAUCCCGAGGCUCAACCUCGGGUCUGCAGUCGAUACGGGCGGACUGGAGUUCGGCAGGGGAGACUGGAAUUCCUGGUGUAGCGGUGAAAUGCGCAGAUAUCAGGAGGAACACCGGUGGCGAAGGCGGUUGCCUGGAGCUUUGCUGACGCUGAGGCGCGAAAGCGUGGGGAGCGAUCCGG
rnacentral:rRNA from 1 species